AUUGAACGCUGGCGGCAUGCCUUACACAUGCAAGUCGAACGGUAACAGGUCUUCUGAUGCUGACGCGUGGCGAACGGGUGAGUAAUACAUCGGAACGUGCCCGAUCGUGGGGGAUAACGGAGCGAAAGCUUUGCUAAUCCCGCAUACGAUCUACGGAUGUAAGCAGGGGACCGCAAGGGCUAGCGCGGGCGGAGCGGCCGAUGGCAGAUUAGGUAGUUGGUGGGAUAAAAGCUUACCAAGCCGACGAUUGGUAGCUGGUCUGAGAGGACGACCAGCCACACUGGGACUGAGACACGGCCCAGACUCCUACGGGAGGCAGCAGUGGGGAAUGUUGGACAAUGGGCGAAAGCCUGAUCCAGCCAUGCCGCGUGCAGGAUGAAGGCCUUCGGGUUGUAAACUGCUUUUGUACGGAACGAAAAGACUCUUUCUAAUAAAGAGGGUCCAUGACGGUACCGUAAGAAUAAGCACCGGCUAACUACGUG
rnacentral:rRNA from 1 species